UCCCUGGUGGUCCAGUGGUGAAGACUCUGUGCUUCCAAUGCAGAGGGCCCAGGUUCGAUCCCUAGUCAAGAAA